GUUUAAUAAAACUUGUUAUUGCAUGUAUUUAAUAAACUUGUAUUUUUGCUUUUACUUGUAUUUUGUUAUUAUUAUCCACUGUUAUCAUUACACAUUAUUUUUAUAAAAUGAAUAAAGUGGUCGACCUUCAUUCUAAAAAAAUAUUAAAUACUAAAUUACUCAAUCAUAUAUUCUCAGUUCUUUUACUUACCGAAUCAGUCAUCCAGAUGUUCAAAAACAAGAAACACCAUAUGCCUUCUUUCGAAUGGAAUGCUUUUUUCCCGAUAAAUUCUGAGAUAAUACUUCCAUAUGCAAGGUCAACUACUGAGUAUCCGACUAUAGAACUCGCUGCUGAAAACGUCAAACUUCAAAAUUUCGAUUCUAACAUCAAAAUUUUGUAUUCGAUGAUAAAAAACAAUGACAACUA
rnacentral:lncRNA from 1 species